rnacentral:tRNA from 1 species
GGAGAAUUCCUUUAUUGGCAAGAAGGGUUGGGCUGUAAACUCAAUAGUUAUAUACUUUUAAGAGUUCGAAUCUCUUUUCUCCU